rnacentral:tRNA from 1 species
AGCCCAGUAGUGUAGCGGUCAAGCAUCUGGGGCCCUGAACCCCGUGACCACGGUUCGAAUCCGUGCUGGGCUA